CAGCUAUCUCCUGAUCAUGUCUUCCAUGUGAAUGGCAGGCAUUAGUUGCCCUGGAUCUAAUACCGUGCCAAGCCCUGGGCUAGGCCCUGGAAAAUGCAUCCCUCUGGCUCUCAAGUAACUUAAAAUAUUGUGACCCAUAAAUAUUUGUUCCCUUUUUCAUCUGUUUAUUUAUUGAUCCAUCCAUUCUUCUUAGGCUGCCUCGAAUGAUUUAUCAGCAACUUUCCUGAAAGGAAAGCUUAAGACCACCUGAUAUUAUUUUAUUUUAUUUUUUUCUAGCCACAUCAUUUCACACCAUAUUUUUAUUUAUUUAUUUAUUUUUAAUUUUUAAAAUCUGCUGUUUUGGGCUGUUCAUUUACCACUUCUCCUUUGUCUGGAAACAGUACCCAGUUUCCUUUGGGGGAACCCCUCCUUCUCUCU
rnacentral:lncRNA from 10 species